rnacentral:rRNA from 1 species
AGAGUUUGAUCCUGGCUCAGGAUGAACGCUAGCUACAGGCUUAACACAUGCAAGUCGAGGGGCAGCAUGAAAGGAACUUCGGUUCUUUUUGAUGGCGACCGGCGCACGGGUGCGUAACGCGUAUCGAACCUGCCUCAUACUCGGGGAUAGCCUUGCGAAAGUAAGAUUAAUACCCGGCGGUCUCGGACGGCCGCAUGACAGUCCGAGUGAAGAUUUAUCGGUAUGAGAUGGCGAUGCGUCCCAUUAGCUUGUUGGUGAGGUAACGGCUCACCAAGGCAUCGAUGGGUAGGGGUUCUGAGAGGAAGGUCCCCCACAUUGGAACUGAGACACGGUCCAAACUCCUACGGGAGGCAGCAGUGAGGAAUAUUGGUCAAUGGACGAAAGUCUGAACCAGCCAAGUAGCGUGCAGGAUGACGGCCCUCUGGGUUGUAAACUGCUUUUAGUUGGGAAUAAAAAGAGGGACGUGUCCCUUAUUGUAUGUACCAUCAGAAAAAGGACCGGCUAAUUCCGUGCCAGCAGCCGCGGUAAUACGGAAGGUCCAGGCGUUAUCCGGAUUUAUUGGGUUUAAAGGGAGCGCAGGCGGCGGCGUAAGUCAGUUGUGAAAUCGUGCGGCUUAACCGUGCAAUUGCAGUUGAUACUGCGUCGCUUGAGUGCACACAGGGAUGUUGGAAUUCAUGGUGUAGCGGUGAAAUGCUUAGAUAUCAUGAAGAACUCCGAUCGCGAAGGCAUAUGUCCGGAGUGCAACUGACGCUGAGGCUCGAAAGUGUGGGUAUCAAACAGGAUUAGAUACCCUGGUAGUCCACACAGUAAACGAUGAAUACUCGCGGUUGGUUCGUUAGAAUCAGCCGCCAAGCGAAAGCGUUAAGUAUUCCACCUGGGGAGUACGCCGGCAACGGUGAAACU